GAUGAACGCUAGCUACAGGCUUAACACAUGCAAGUCGAGGGGCAGCGGGGAGGAUGCUUGCAUUCUCUGCCGGCGACCGGCGCACGGGUGAGUAACGCGUACCGAACCUGCCUCAUACUCGGGAAUAGCCUUGCGAAAGUAAGAUUAAUGCCCGGUGUUCCGCGAGGGCCGCAUGGCCUUUUCGGCAAAGUUAUUUACGGUAUGAGAUGGCGGUGCGUCCCAUUAGCUUGUUGGCGGGGUAACGGCCCACCAAGGCGACGAUGCGUAGGGGUUCUGAGAGGAAGGUCCCCCACAUUGGUACUGAGACACGGACCAAACUCCUACGGGAGGCAGCAGUGAGGAAUAUUGGUCAAUGGGCGGAAGCCUGAACCAGCCAAGUCGCGUGAGGGAAGACGGUCCUACGGAUUGUAAACUGCUUUUAUAAGGGAAUAAAGUGGGUCUCGUGAGACUUUUUGCAUGUACCUUAUGAAUAAGGACCGGCUAAUUCCGUG
rnacentral:rRNA from 1 species